UCCCGCAAUUAUUAGCCAAACAUCCUCACGCCCGCGAACUUCUUCCAGGCGAAACAUCCUCACGCUAAACCUCUCCUCACGACGUACAAAAACCAGCCGGAAAAACCUAAAAUCGCUACCUCUCCUCACGCGAACCCUAAACUCCUCUCCACCAACAGUGAAGCAUUCUCUGUCGAAGUCCUCCUCACGCGAACUCUCUCCGUCGAAGCCCUCUCCGCCGAAGCCUCCUCACGUGAACUCCCUCCAUCGAAGGCUCCUCACGCAAACUCCCUCUGUCGAAACCUCACUGUCGCAACCCUAAACUCCUCUCUCCACCAAAGCCCUCUCCGCCGAAGCCUCCUCACGUGAACUCCCUCCGCUGAAGCCUCCUCACGCGAACUCCCUCUGUUGAAGCCUCUCUGCCGCAGCCCUAAACUCCUCUUUGUCGAACAUCUCCGCCCAUCCUAUCUUAGAUGAAGUGCUCUAAGGCGAAGCCCUCUCCGGUGAAGCCCUCUCCACCGAAGCUCUUCUCAGGUUGGAUUUUCUUUUGUUUUCUUUGUUUUUCUUGUAUUAUGUUUUCUUAUCAAAAAUCAAAUGAAAUAGAAGGAUUCAAAGAAUAGAGACACACUGAUUGGUUACAAGCCAAGGUGUAUGUCAGGUUUAAAGCACUAGAUAGAUUUGAUAAUUUCUGGCAGUUCAGUCUGGUUUCAAGAAGAACAAGAAGCUGGUGAUGAGGACGAGGAGGUCAUAUUUAAGAUUGGCGUUGCCGCCAAUAGGUAAAAUUUGAUUAUUUUUAGUCUUUUUUAGUCAACCUGUCUCAUGGAGGCGCAAAAGGAAAUUAUUUCAGUAGCAAUUUAUUUUAUUCAGAAUCUAAACAUGCAAAGAUGAUUAAAAUUGUUGUUAUCUCUCUACUGUUGCUGUGUUAUAAGAAAUGUUCUAUAGAUACAUAGAGUAUCGAACUUCAUCAAGUUUUGACUUCUGGUUUCUAAUUGGAUCAUGUUAGCCUAGUAUUUACGCCAAAGCUUUUCUCUUUUCAUCUUUUAUUUUUAUCUAUUAGGUUGAUGCAAUGCAUUGAAAGAAAGACAAACUAUUAAGUAUAGUUCUACAGUUCAAAUAUGAUACUGAUGAUGGAUGUCAUAUUGGUUUUGUAACUUCCUUUUUUCUGUCUAGUUAUUCAACUGCAGAUACGAUUUGCUCUGUCUUGAAGGGAUUGCUUGGGCUCUUAGAAUUUUCAUUGAAAAGGAAGCUAGCCCUUUGUAUACAGUCACUAGUGUCUCACCCGAAUCAAUACUCAAAAUGCAUGUCAAACCUGAGGUGAUUAAAAUGAUUGAGACAAGCUUCCUGGGUUUUCUUGUUUUAUUUUUGUUCUUAUAUCUUUUUUCUUUAUUUUUUGAGACAAGAACAAAGUUUGUAACAUGAUUCUCUUAUUUAAUAGACCUCAUUGAUCCGACCUUUUGUUGUUUGUGCUGUUUUGAGGGGAAUAGCCUUUGAUAAAGCAAGAUACAACAGCUUCAUUGACCUGCAAGAUAAAUUGCACCAAAAUAUAUGUAGGUAUGCUACAUGUUUCAAUUAUUGCUGGUUUUCUCCAUUGUUUUUGUUGGUGAAUCAGUGUCAAAAUUUAUUCUUCUUGGAAUACCAAGUGAAGAACCUUAGUUGCUAUUGGGACACAUGAUUUGGAUACAAUACAGGGUCCUUUUUCCUAUGAGGAGAAAAUUUUCAGGGUUGAUGAGCUGUUGGAAUAUUACAAAUCAAAUAUGAAGCUUAAGAAGUUCUUGCACAUAAUUGAGAACUCUCCUGUGUACCCAGUGAUCUAUGACAGAAAUAGGUAAAAACAAUCAUCUAGUACCCACAUUAUUUGGCUACAACCUGACAAUCUCUUGGUUAAUUAGUCAAAUAAUUGAUUUUGAUUAUUCUCUAAUGUACUUUAUACUUAUAUGUUGUCCUUUAAUGUACUUCUGGUAUUAGGAAUGAUUUUGGUAGCAAUAGCGAUAUCAAUAAUGGUGUAAAAAAAAUGAUGGUUUUGGUCAUGUUUUUCAGGUGAUUAUCAUAAAUUAUGUAUUUCUAAAUCAUAAAAUUGUUACAAAAAUAUAAUAAUUUUGUAUUGUUUAUUUACAAUCAAAUUUGAGAAAUGUGAGUCAUGGAGAUAUCUGUGCUAAUACCAAAUGUAAGUUGCUUCAUUGGUCUACCGAUGAAUUAGUUGUUGCAGAAGGUCGAAUUGCAUCCACAGAUCCAAACACAAAAGUGCAUCACAUUAUUUUUGGUGGAUCAUGUUGGAAAGUUUGGGUUGAUAAGGUUUUGGUGGAAAAGGUGAACCUAAUUCGAUCAAAUGAUGAAAUGCAGUUUCUCGAUGAUGUAAUAGGAAGCACGGUCACAUGGUUAUCUAAAUUUAUAGUAUUGUGUGAUUGAUACAUAUUAUACUAAUUUGUGUGGAUUGUAAGUUUAAUUGUUGUUAUGUAAUUGCUAGUUUGUUAGAGAUUUCA